rnacentral:RNase_P_RNA from 1 species
AGCCUUGCGAAUGAGGCCAAUGCGAGAUAUUCAGGGCUGUUGGUGCUCCGUUCCUCGCGGGAAGGUCUGAGAUGUCGCGCUGUCUUCCGUGAUGGAGGUGCCUUUAGAUAGGCAGGGGGUAACAGAGACGUAUUCGUCGUUGUUGUUCGCCCGUGGAGGUCCUUUGGGGCUGAGGGUAAGCAACGGCGGAAUGAGAGUGAGCCCUCUGUGAGCGCGUGUAGCGAGAUUGGCAGUUGUACUCAAUUCAGACUACGCUCGCAGGCU